UAAUGCGCCUCCAUCGACACGGCGGAUGUGAAUCACUUCACACAAACAGCCGGUUCGGUUGAAGAGAAAAAUCCUGAAAUUCAGGGUUGACUCUGAAAGAGGAAAGCGUAAUAUACGCCACCUCGCGACAGUGAGCUGAAAGCCGCGUCGCAACUGCUCUUUAACAAUUUAUCAGACAAUCUGUGUGGGCACUCGAAGAUACGGAUUCUUAACGUCGCAAGACGAAAAAUGAAUACCAAGUCUCAAGAGUGAACACGUAAUUCAUUACAAAGUUUAAUUCUUUGAGCAUCAAACUUUUAAAUUGAAGAGUUUGAUCAUGGCUCAGAUUGAACGCUGGCGGCAGGCCUAACACAUGCAAGUCGAACGGUAACAGGAAGAAGCUUGCUUCUUUGCUGACGAGUGGCGGACGGGUGAGUAAUGUCUGGGAAACUGCCUGAUGGAGGGGGAUAACUACUGGAAACGGUAGCUAAUACCGCAUAACGUCGCAAGACCAAAGAGGGGGACCUUCGGGCCUCUUGCCAUCGGAUGUGCCCAGAUGGGAUUAGCUAGUAGGUGGGGUAACGGCUCACCUAGGCGACGAUCCCUAGCUGGUCUGAGAGGAUGACCAGCCACACUGGAACUGAGACACGGUCCAGACUCCUACGGGAGGCAGCAGUGGGGAAUAUUGCACAAUGGGCGCAAGCCUGAUGCAGCCAUGCCGCGUGUAUGAAGAAGGCCUUCGGGUUGUAAAGUACUUUCAGCGGGGAGGAAGGGAGUAAAGUUAAUACCUUUGCUCAUUGACGUUACCCGCAGAAGAAGCACCGGCUAACUCCGUGCCAGCAGCCGCGGUAAUACGGAGGGUGCAAGCGUUAAUCGGAAUUACUGGGCGUAAAGCGCACGCAGGCGGUUUGUUAAGUCAGAUGUGAAAUCCCCGGGCUCAACCUGGGAACUGCAUCUGAUACUGGCAAGCUUGAGUCUCGUAGAGGGGGGUAGAAUUCCAGGUGUAGCGGUGAAAUGCGUAGAGAUCUGGAGGAAUACCGGUGGCGAAGGCGGCCCCCUGGACGAAGACUGACGCUCAGGUGCGAAAGCG
rnacentral:rRNA from 1 species